CUUAUCAGUCAGUUCCUGUUUCUCCCGGAAACCAAACUAAAUGCCAUCAAGAAAGAAAUCAGGAGGACCCUGCGAGCGGAAGACCUGUCUAUCAGACACUUAGCGAGGGUCAUCGGAAUGCUGUCUGCCUCGAUACAAGCAAUUUUUCCAGGACCACUUGAUUAUCGGGCCCUUACCUCCGUUCUGGUCACCCACUACGAGAAAAGUUUGAGAUUGGACGACGAGUCCAGAGACAAACUAGUCUGGUGGUUGGCUCACUUGGAAGCCUGAAAUGACAGGGCCAUCUUCAGAUCGAUCCCAGACCUGGUGAUCGAAUCGGAUGCCAGCUUUAACGGCUGGGGUGCGCGUUGUGGCAACGUUUCCACAGGAGGCAGAUGGUUGAACUUCGAAAAGACACUACACAUCAACUGCAUGGAACUGUUAGCCGGAGUUUUUGCGAUUCGCAG